rnacentral:rRNA from 1 species
AUGAAAACCUGCAUUGCAGAUGUUGAUGCAUGUGUGGCUGAUAUUGAUGAGGAUUUACUUGCUGAUGCGGCUCUUCCUGUGCCUGACCAUAUGCCUGAAGAGGAUCACUUUUGGUAUGAUAAGGAACAUCCUGUGAUAGAGGAAGGAUCUUUGUUUCGUUCAAUGAACGAGUUUAGGAUGCUCAUGAGAACAUUUGCUAUUAGAGGCAAGUUUGACAUCAAGACCAAGGAUAGUGACACUACUAGAUUUGUGGGUCACUGUAAAGGAAAUGCAUGUCCUUGGAGAAUAACUGCUAGGACAAUAGAAGAUGGAAAAACAGUCAGGGUAAACAAGAUAGUAAAGCCUCAUAAGUGUUCAUCAACCACUGCAGUGAUUACAAGCAUGGCAGACCAAGCAUGGGUGGCAGAAAAGGCAAUGGGGUAUCUUCAAACUGAACCAAACAUUGGUGCCAGCGAGCUCCGAAAAAAGCUAUAGGCCGAAUACAAAUGUACUAUUAGGUAUCAUACUGUUGACAAGGGAAAAGAAAGGUCCAAGAAUAGU